UCAACCUCCAGGGCACAGAGAUUCCGAAACCUCCAGAGGCCUAUAAGGGGCCGAGGGUAAAGUUGAGAGUGGGGAGUCAGUGACACAGUUCGCUCUCCGCUGUGUUCCGAGAAGUAUUCCCUCUUACUUGUCACUCUGUUGCACCUUAUCAGUAACCAAGGACCAUGUGACUACUGCUAUCAGAAACCGGAAUAGGUGAUGCUGGUGAAUUAAAGGAAUACAACCUCCAAGAGACAUGUCUUGAAAGAAGUUGCUGUGGCCGAUGUCGAAGACUGAACCCUAGUUCUAAACUAACACUCAUACUUGGGUGUUGAGAUGAGUUCUGGGAAACUGUGUUUGGCCACUUGACCUCUGCUGCUACAGUAAUGCUGUUCUGCCAAGCCUCUUCCCAUUCUCCCAAUUUUCUAUCUUCUUUUCUCCAGACUGAUUGAGGAAUUGAAGGAGCUGUAUAAUGGACUGGAAUUAGAAAAUGAAGAUAUUUACAUGGCAACCACCUUUGGGGACUUCAUCCAACUAUUAGUGAGAAAGCUAUGAGGGGACGACAAAGACAACAAGUACAUCAUUAACUGUGUGAGUCUUCCUCCACAUGGGCUUGGCGUUACAGACCCCUCAGACACCCACAUCUGUGGAUCCACAGUGGACAUGGGGGGGACCUGGACAUCAGGAAGCCAGGACACCUAAGAGCCUACCUUCAGUGUCCCAGGCUCUCCCUGGUAACCCUGGAUACCCCGAGGAUGCCAGUAUAGUUAGACAAAUACAACAGAGGAGACAAAGGUGUCCUCGGUGGAGGGGACAGUGAGAUAGAAGAUGAGAGGGUAUAAAAGUGAAGGUGCUGAUCAGAUCGGAGCAGCAAACUGGCAAAGCUAACAGAUGGACCUGGGCGGGCUCAGUACGGCAUUUGUCUGGAGUGGCUUGGACCAGAGGUGGGAUCAGGCUACUUGAUGCAGAAGCCAGCAAAGGAAGGAUAGGGCCUGUUCUGUCUGCUGGCACUUGCCCAGCUUCACAUUGACUGCUGGAAUCUCACACUUUCCUGUCUUGUUUUUUUUUUUUCUUAAAGCAGGGCAGAAGGGAUUCUUUCCCCUUAGUUCCAUCAGAAAUCUUAGGGAAGGAGUUCGGGUUGCUCCAGCUUUAGAGAAUGGGGUGGGAGUGAGGCCUGGAGAAGAGAGAGCUCCCCUAGAACCAAGUGGUCCCAAUGGGGGAGAACAGCCACCCCCAAGGAAGUGGGGUAAUGUUUCCAGAAGGGGGUUGCUGGGCAGAUGAGCUAAGCAAUGUUGAAAAGAUUGGUGAACAAGCUGGUUUCAGGAACCUGGCUUUUCUGAACUGGGUCCUGGGGAAGUUGUCAGGCAUACAGCCUGGUCAUGAUGUGGUCCAAAUGUGCUUGUCAUCUGGUGGGAGAGAGACCCUGUCUUGGCCUUUCAGUGAGAAUGCCGUU